rnacentral:rRNA from 2 species
CACCGCGGUUAUACGAGAGGCCCAAGUUGAUAACCCUUCGGCGUAAAGGGUGGUUAAAAUAAAAUAUAUUAAAGUUAAAAUCCUCCCUAACUGUUGUACGUAUCUGGGGGAAAGAAAUUCACUCUCGAAAGUAGCUUUAAAUAAUUGAAUCCACGAAAGCUAUGACA